rnacentral:rRNA from 1 species
CGGACGGUGAGUAAUGUCUGGGAAACUGCCCGAUGGAGGGGGAUAACUACUGGAAACGGUAGCUAAUACCGCAUAACGUCGCAAGACCAAAGAGGGGGACCUUCGGGCCUCUUGCCAUCGGAUGUGCCCAGAUGGGAUUAGCUAGUAGGUGGGGUAACGGCUCACCUAGGCGACGAUCCCUAGCUGGUCUGAGAGGAUGACCAGCCACACUGGAACUGAGACACGGUCCAG